rnacentral:rRNA from 1 species
AACGUAGGAGACAAACGUUAUCCGGAGUGACUGGGCGUAAAGGGCGUGCAGGCGGCCGACUAAGUCUGGCGUGAAAGCUCUCGGCUAAACCGGGAGAGGUCGUUGGAUACUGGUUGACUAGAGGACGGUAGAGGCGUGUGGAAUUCCGGGUGUAGUGGUGAAAUGCGUAGAGAUCCGGAGGAACACCAGUGGCGAAGGCGACACGCUGGGCCGUACCUGACGCUGAUACGCGACAGCAUGGGGAGCGAACGGG